rnacentral:rRNA from 1 species
AUGCCCGCAAGCUGUUCAACAGUUUGCCAAGGUACGAAAAUGGACUCCGCCGACGAGUUCUUUUUUCACAAUUUUCUUUGCGACUACGACGAUUCGUCCGACGAGGAGGAGGAGAUAUUGGCUGCUGUGUUGGUCCAUCACCACCUCAACAACCAGCGGCCGUUGUUCCGUGGCUCCAUUCCGGGCCACCUUCCGGCGUUGAAUCGUAAUCGGGAGAGCGGACAUUUCCUUCUCUGGAAGGACUACUUUGAUACAACAAACCCGUUGUUCAAACAUCACAAAUUCCGCCGCCGAUUCCGUAUGAGUAGGCAUGUUUUCAACCGUAUUAGAGAGGGAGUGGUCGGCUAUGAUGACUACUUCGAGUGCAAAGAGGAUGCCGCCGGGAAGAUUGGUUUCUCCUCUUAUCAGAAAUGCACUGCCGCCAUCCGAAUGCUUGCAUACGGAGUGCCCGGUGAUCUCAUUGACGAGUACGUCCGUAUGAGCGAGUCUACAUGCCUAGAGUCCCUGUAUAAGUUUUGCAAGGCUGUGAUUGCUGUGUUUGGCCCUGAGUACUUGAGAAAGCCGACAGCUGAAGAUACAGCCCGUUUGUUGGCGAUGAAUGCUAGCAGGGGCUUCCCGGGGAUGCUUGGCAGCAUAGACUGCAUGCACUGGGAGUGGAAGAACUGCCCUUCUGCUUGGCAAGGACAGUAUAAGGGACAUGUCAGGGCUUGCACUGUCAUACUAGAGGCCGUGGCGUCUCAAGAUCUCUGGAUCUGGCACUCUUUCUUUGGCAUGGCUGGAUCACACAAUGAUAUCAACGUGCUUCAGUGCUCGCCGGUGUUUGCUAGGCUUGCCGAAGGCAACAGGCCACCGGUGAACUUUACUGUCAACGGCCACACCUACGACAAAGGGUAUUAUCUGGGUGACGGUAUCUAUCCUCAGUGGACCAUAUUGUCAAGACAAUACCCAACCCUGUUGGAGAGAAAAGGAAAAGAUUUGCCCAAGAGCAAGAGAGUGCUAGAAAGGAUGUCGAGCGUGCCUUUGGUGUUUUGCAAUCUCGAUGGGGCAUCGUUCGGUAUCCUGCUAAUACUUGGAGCACGCAGAAACUAUGGGAGGUGA